rnacentral:rRNA from 1 species
CUUACCAAGUCUUGACAUCCCAGCGACGGGGACGUAACGGUCCCUUCCCUUCGGGGCGAUGGAGACAGGUGGUGCAUGGUUGUCGUCAGCUCGUGUCGUGAGAUGUUGGGUUAAGUCCCGCAACGAGCGCAACCCUUAUCCUCAGUAGCCAGCGGCGAGGCGGGGAACUCUGAGGAGACUGCCAGGGAUAACCUGGAGGAAGGUGGGGAUGACGUCAAAUCAUCAUGCCCCUUAUGAUUUGGGCUACACACGUGCUACAAUGGCGUAAACAAAGGGAAGCGAGCCCGCGAGGGUAAGCAAAUCUCAAAAAUAACGUCUCAGUUCGGAUUGUAGUCUGCAACUCGACUACAUGAAGCUGGAAUCGCUAGUAAUCGCGGAUCAGAAUGCCGCGGUGAAUACGUUCCCGGGUCUUGUACACACCGCCCGUCACACCAUGGGAGUCGGAAAUGCCCGAAGCCAGUGACCCAACUGAAAGGAGGGAGCUGUCGAAGGCAGGUCUGAUAACUGGGGUGAAGUCGUAACAAGGUAACCGU